rnacentral:rRNA from 1 species
CCUACGGGCGGCUGCAGUGGGGAAUAUUGCACAAUGGGGGGAACCCUGAUGCAGCAAUGCCGCGUGAAGGAUGAAGGUUUUCGGAUUGUAAACUUCUUUUGUACGGGACGAAGAAUGUGACGGUAGCGUAAGAAUAAGCCACGGCUAACUACGUGCAAGCAGCCGCGGGAAUACGGAGGUGGCAGGCGUUAUACGGAUUUACUGGGUGUAAAGGGCGAGUAGGCGGGAGUGCAAGUCAGAUGUGAAAACUAUGGGCUCAACCGAUAGUGUGCAUUUGAAACUGCAGUUCUUGAGUGAGGGAGAGGCAGGCGGAAUGCCCGGUGUAGCGGUGGAAUGCGUAGAUAUCGCGCAGAACCCCAGUGGCGAAGGCGGCCUGCUGGAGAUUAACUGACGCUGAAGCGCGAAAGCGUGGGUAGCGAACAGGAUUAGAUACCCGGGUAGUC